rnacentral:rRNA from 1 species
UACGGGGGGGGCAAGCGUUGUUCGGAAUUACUGGGCGUAAAGGGCUCGUAGGUGGCCAACUAAGUCAGACGUGAAAUCCCCAGGCUCAACUUGGGAACUGCGUCUGAUACUGGAUGGCUUGAAUUCGGGAGAGGGAUGCAGAAUUCCAGGUGUAGCGGUGAAAUGCGCAGAUAUCAGGAGGAACACCGGUGGCGAAGGCGGAUCUCUGGGCCGAAACUGACGCUGAGGAGCGAAAGCGUGGGUAGCAAACAGG